rnacentral:rRNA from 1 species
ACGAACGCUGGCGGCGUGCUUAACACAUGCAAGUCGAGCGGUAAGGCCCUUUCGGGGUACGACGAGCGGCGAACGGGUAGGAGUAACACGUGGGUGGACCUCGCCCUCCAGCUCUGGGAGUAAAGACCCGGGAAACCGUAGGGUCGUAAUACCGGAUAUGACUCCGCGGCGCAUGUUGUGGGGUGGAAAGCCUUGUGUGGCUAGAGAUGGGCCCGCGGCCUAUCAGCUUGUUGGUGGGGUGAUGGCCUACCAAGGCGACGACGGGUAGCCGGCCUGAGAGGGCGACCGGCCACACUGGGACUGAGACACGGCCCAGACUCCUACGGGAGGCAGCAGUGGGGAAUCUUGCGCAAUGGGCGAAAGUCUGACGCAGCGACGCCGCGUGAGGGAUGACGGCC